GCAACGGUCAACAUCAAAUUUAGGAACAAAAAAAAAUAAAUUUUUUUUUGACAAAAAUUUUUGGUGUAAAAUAUUUUUACAAACAUGCCACGUGUAGCAAAAAAUAAGGCCAAAAGCGAAGCUUCUGUGAAUUCCUCAUCAAAAGGAUUUAAGGAAAAACUGAAGAAGCGACUGAGCUUAGAACAAGAACUUUUAAAUGAUUUUGAAAAUGAAAGGGCGCACUAUCGUAAUGCUCGCCAGAAGAACGCCAAGAACUCGCAUCAACAAAAUAAGAAUACAUCGGUGAUUUCAACAACUUCAAUAGAAAUCGAAAUGAAACAAAUUGUGCAAGAAUGUACGAUAUUAAGUAAUUAUAUUAGUUCAAGUGAUGAAAUUUCAUUGAACAAUGCAUCUGAAUCAGAAUUAAAUGAAGUAAGUUUGAAAGAGCCCUUGAGUGCUGAAUCACUUUUAGGUACCCAAAGUGAAUGCCUGUUAAACGGUUGUUCCUGUUGUAAAUAUUCAAAGAAUAAAAGUAAAUCACUUCGUAACACUAUGAAGAAAAAGAAGGGUCCCUUUUGGAAAAGAUAAAAUCAUAUAUCAUGAUACCUCGACUACCUUAUGUCCAAUACAGUAAUAGUGAGAACUUGGUAAAUAUAUAGAAUAUUGAAUGAAUAAGGAUAUUUAUUCACAAUUACCAUCUAAUGAGAUAAUAUAUAAAUCACACUUUAUGAGAUCUUUUUUGUCAUUGGAGUAUCUUUGCUAUUUGAAGCCCGAUAUAUUGAAAUGUAAAUUAAAUAAAUGACAUGAUGGUAAUUAUUUACAAGUGCAAUGUAAGGUCUGAUGAUAUUUUUUUACAAUUUUAUCUAAUUAGAUAGUAUUUAUCAGAACUAAUUCUUCAUUGGAGGAUUCAUUGCUAUUUGGGACAAGAGGUACACAAUAGAAAUAUAAAUAGAGUAUGAGGCAUGAUGUUUACUUUGACCUAAGGACAUUAAGUAAAUUAAGAAACUAACUAAGCUAUCGUAAUACUGGACUAAAAAAGCAAAUUGGAGGUUUCGAAUAAAAAAACAGAGAAGACAACGAUGACCUUUGCACAUGAUUUGGGACCUAACAUGGUCAAUUAUUAAAAAAAAAAUAAACACGUUUGGCAUGUACACAUAUUUGUUAAUAGAAUUUAUAUUUGGAUCACUAAAAAGCAGAGACAAUAUUUGUAU